AGAGUUUGAUCCUGGCUCAGGAUGAACGCUGGCGGUAUGCUUAACACAUGCAAGUCGAACAAACCCUUCGGGGUUAGUGGCGGACGGGUGAGUAGCGCGUGAGGAUCUGCCCUUAGGAGGGGAACAACAGUUGGAAACGACUGCUAACGCCCCAUAUGCCGAGAGGUGAAACAGUUAAUUCUGCCUAGGGAUGAACUCGCGUCUGAUUAGCUAGUUGGUUGGGUAAUGGCCGACCAAGGCGACGAUCAGUAGCUGGUCUAAGAGGAUGAUCAGCCACACUGGGACUGAGACACGGCCCAGACUCCUACGGGGGGCAGCAGUGGGGAAUUUUCCGCAAUGGGCGAAAGCCUGACGGAGCAAUACCGCGUGAGGGAGGAAGGCCUUAGGGUUGUAAACCUCUUUUCUCUGGGAAGAAGAUCUGACGGUACCAGAGGAAUAAGCCUCGGCUAACUCCGUGCCAGCAGCCGCGGUAGACGGAGGAGGCAAGCGUUAUCCGGAAUUAUUGGGCGUAAAGCGUCCGUAGGCGGUUAAUUAAGUCUGUUGUUAAAGCCCACAGCUCAACUGUGGAUCGGCAAUGGAAACUGGUUGACUAGAGUGUGGUAGGGGUAGAGGGAAUUCCCGGUGUAGCGGAGAAAUGCGUAGAUAUCGGGAAGAACACCAGUGGCGAAGGCGCUCUACUGGGCCACAACUGACGCUGGUGGACGAAAGCUAGGGGAGCGAAAGGGAUUAGAUACCCCUGUAGUCCUAGCUGUAAACGAUGGAUACUAGGUGUUGGACGUAUCGACACGUGCAGUACCGUAGCUAACGCGUUAAGUAUCCCGCCUGGGGAGUACGCACGCAAGUGUGAAACUCAAAGGAAUUGACGGGGGCCCGCACAAGCGGUGGAGGAUGUGGUUUAAUUCGAUGCAACGCGAAGAACCUUACCAAGGCUUGACAUCCUGCGAAUCUUUCAGAGAUGAGAGAGUGCCUUCGGGAGCGCAGAGACAGGUGGUGCAUGGCUGUCGUCAGCUCGUGUCGUGAGAUGUUGUGUUAAGUCCCGCAACGAGCGCAACCCUCGUCCUUAGUUGCCAUCAUUAAGUUGGGCACUCUGGGGAGACUGCCGGGGACAACUCGGAGGAAGGUGGGGACGACGUCAAGUCAUCAUGCCCCUUACGUCUUGGGCUACACACGUCCUACAAUGCCACAGACAGAGGGCAGCAAGCGCGCGAGUGCAAGCAAAUCCCAUAAACUGUGGCUCAGUUCAGAUUGCAGGCUGCAACUCGCCUGCAUGAAGGCGGAAUCGCUAGUAAUCGCAGGUCAGCAUACUGCGGUGAAUACGUUCCCGGGCCUUGUACACACCGCCCGUCACACCAUGGGAGUUGGCCACGCCCGAAGUCGUUACUCUAACCGUUCGCGGAGGAGGGCGCCGAAGGCAGGGCUGAUGACUGGGGUGAAGUCGUAACAAGGUA
rnacentral:rRNA from 1 species